rnacentral:tRNA from 1 species
GGUGUUAGUUCAUUUAGGGCGUUAGAUUGUAACUCUAAAAGAGGCUGAUUGCCCCCG